rnacentral:rRNA from 1 species
UACAGAGGUCCCAAGCGUUGUUCGGAUUCACUGGGCGUAAAGGGUGCGUAGGUGGUUGGGUAAGUCUGAUGUGAAAUCUCCGGGCUCAACCCGGAAAUGGCAUUGGAUACUAUUCGGCUAGAGGUUUGGAGGGGGGACUGGAAUUCUCGGUGUAGCAGUGAAAUGCGUAGAUAUCGAGAGGAACACCAGUGGCGAAGGCGAGUCCCUGGACAACACCUGACACUGAGGCACGAAAGCUAGGGGAGCAAACAG